AGCAGCAGCGCGGUAAUACAGAGGGUGCGAGCGUUAAUCGGAUUUACUGGGCGUAAAGCGUGCGUAGGCGGCUUCUUAAGUCGGAUGUGAAAUCCCUGAGCUUAACUUAGGAAUUGCAUUCGAUACUGGGAAGCUAGAGUAUGGGAGAGGAUGGUAGAAUUCCAGGUGUAGCGGUGAAAUGCGUAGAGAUCUGGAGGAAUACCGAUGGCGAAGGCAGCCAUCUGGCCUAAUACUGACGCUGAGGUACGAAAGCAUGGGGAGCAAACAGGAUUAGAUACCCCUGUAGUCCCUGUCUCUUAUACA
rnacentral:rRNA from 1 species